UACGGGAGGCAGCAGUGGGGAAUAUUGCACAAUGGGCGCAAGCCUGAUGCAGCCAUGCCGCGUGUAUGAAGAAGGCCUUCGGGUUGUAAAGUACUUUCAGUCGUGAGGAAGGUGUUAAGGUUAAUAACCUUAGCAAUUGACGUUAGCGACAGAAGAAGCACCGGCUAACUCCGUGCCAGCAGCCGCGGUAAUACGGAGGGUGCGAGCGUUAAUCGGAAUUACUGGGCGUAAAGGGCACGCAGGCGGUUAAUUAAGUUGGAUGUGAAAUCCCCGGGCUUAACCUGGGAAUGGCAUUCAAGACUGGUUAGCUAGAGUCUUGUAGAGGGGGUAGAAUUCCAUGUGUAGCGGUGAAAUGCGUAGAGAUGUGGAGGAAUACCGGUGGCGAAGGCGGCCCCUGGGACAAAGACUGACGCUCAUGUGCGAAAGCGUGGGGAGCGAAACAGGGAUUAGAUAC
rnacentral:rRNA from 1 species